UUAGGUAGAGGUUGCGGGUUUCAUCAGUAACCACCCCCAUACGGCCCGGGAGGCCGGGGAGGGCGAAAGGGAAAACCGCCGAAGAGAAAAGUUCCCCCGAGAACUUUUCUACUGGGACGCAGCAGAAUAUGCUGCGUACUGUCACAGUAUCUGUGGAGAGCUAUCAGU
rnacentral:ncRNA from 1 species